ACGGGUGAGUAAUACAUCGGAACGUAUCCUGGAGUGGGGGAUAGCCCGGCGAAAGCCGGAUUAAUACCGCAUACGCUCUGAGGAGGAAAGCGGGGGACCUUCGGGCCUCGCGCUCAAGGGGCGGCCGAUGGCGGAUUAGGUAGUUGGUGGGGUAAAGGCCUACCAAGCCGACGAUCCGUAGCUGGUCUGAGAGGACGACCAGCCACACUGGGACUGAGACACGGCCCAGACUCCUACGGGAGGCAGCAGUGGGGAAUUUUGGACAAUGGGGGCAACCCUGAUCCAGCAAUGCCGCGUGUGUGAAGAAGGCCUUCGGGUUGUAAAGCACUUUUGUCCGGAAAGAAAUCAUCGGGGCCAAUACCCCUGGUGGAUGACGGUACCGGAAGAAUAAGCACCGGCUAACUACGUGCCAGCAGCCGCGGUAAUACGUAGGGUGCGAGCGUUAAUCGGAAUUACUGGGCGUAAAGCGUGCGCAGGCGGUGCUGUAAGACCGAUGUGAAAUCCCCGGGCUUAACCUGGGAACUGCAUUGGUGACUGCAGCGCUGGAGUAUGGCAGAGGGGGGUGGAGUUCCACGU
rnacentral:rRNA from 1 species